rnacentral:rRNA from 1 species
UCACUGGGCUUAAAGGGUGCGCAGGCGGAAUGGUCAGUGUCUUGUGAAAUCCCACGGCUCAACCGUGGAACUGCAGGGCAUACUGCCAUUCUUGAGGCCGGUAGAGGCCGCCGGAACUCUAGGUGUAGCGGUGAAAUGCGUAGAUAUCUAGAGGAACGCCAAAGACGAAGGUAGGCGGCUGGGCCGGUUCUGACGCUCAGGCACGAAAGCGUGGGGAGCAAACAGGAUUAGAUACCCUGGUAGUCCACGCCGUAAACGUUGUGCACUAGGUGCUGGAGGUUCUGACACCAUCAGCGCCGAAGCGAAAGUGAUUAGUGCACCGCCUGGGGAGUACGGUCGCAAGGCUAAAACUCAAAGGAAUUGACGGGGGCUCACACAAGCGGUGGAGCAUGUGGCUUAAUUCGAGGCAACGCGAAGAACCUUAUCCUGGGCUUGACAUGCAUGGAUUAACGCUGGGAAACCAGCGCCACACUCUUUGAGUGGAACAUGCACAGGUGCUGCAUGGCUGUCGUCAGCUCGUGCUGUGAAGUGUUGGGUUAAGUCCCUUAACGAGCGAAACCCCUGUCGCUGGUUACCAUCAGGUAAUGCUGGGGACUCUAGCGAGACUGCCGGUGUCAAACCGGAGGAAGGCGGGGAUGACGUCAAGUCCUCAUGGCCUUUAUGCCCAGGGCUGCACACGUGCUACAAUGGCGCCGACAGAGCGAAGCAAAACCGCGAGGUAGAGCAAAUCGCAAAAAAGGUGCCCCAGUUCGGAUUGCAGUCUGCAACUCGACUGCAUGAAGCCGGAAUCG